rnacentral:rRNA from 1 species
UACGGGGGGGGGCAAGCGUUUGUUCGGAAUUACUGGGCGUAAAGGGCGCGUAGGCGGCCUUCUAAGUCGGACGUGAAAUCCCUCGGCUUAACCGAGGAACUGCGUCCGAUACUGAAAGGCUUGAAUCCGGGAGAGGGAUGUGGAAUUCCAGGUGUAGCGGUGAAAUGCGUAGAUAUCUGGAGGAACACCGGUGGCGAAGGCGGCAUCCUGGACCGGCAUUGACGCUGAGGCGCGAAAGCUAGGGGAGCAAACGGGG